UAUAUCGAAUUUACGUAUAUAAAUACAUUUAUGGGAUUUACAAAAAUUCUUAAUUCUUAUUUAUUAUUCCUGUAUCAUGUACAAUAAUGACUUUCGUAAUCAAACAGUAGUAAUUAUCGACUGUUUCUCCUACGUUUACGUUUCAAUACAUCCGAUAAGUCCGAUUCUGGAUCAUUAUCGGUUUAAGAAUAAUUUACCUUAGGUACAUUUCUUUUCGAACUUCUUGUUUUUUUAGUUGGUGAUUGCAUUUUUUUCACUUUUUUAUAAGGUGCAUUUGUCGCCAUAGUUUCUGAUGUAAAUUGUUUGAUCGCUGUUAUCUCGGAUGCAGCGAUUUCUUUACGCUGAGCAGGUGUUUUAAAUGUUCUUUGAUGGCAAGACUCUUGACAUGCUCUGUUGUGUUAGAUUCGUGUGUUGUGAUAUCAUGAAUAUCCUUACAGUAAUCUUGUUUUACUGAAAAUUUAAUAUCGGUCAGUGCUAACUGACAGUUUUUUGGUUAGUUUAGGCCGCGUCAGUCACCGGUGACUGACAUUCAACUGUUUUUUCAAUAGUAAGUAACGCGCGUGGUCUGAUUGGGAUUUCCUGUAAAAUUUGCGUGGCGCUCAACGUGUUAAUCCAAUUAAUCGAUUAUGAUACAGAAAAGUGUAUAAAAUAAAUUGUUGAAAAAACAAGCGUAAGAGAAAAGAAUUUUAAUCGUAUUUAUAAAUCAUCAUUGAUAAAUUAAUUCAUUAAAUAUGCGAAUAAUUACUGUCGUUUCUACCAUCACACAAAAAAACUUUUAACGCAUUAAAGAUUUCCUAUCUUAAUGUGUGGUUAUUCGGAUACUACAGCAUGAAGGUUUUGCAAUCGCUGAAAGAAAAAUUGUUGAUUGUAAUUUAAAAAAAACUAAACACAAUUUGAAUGCAUAAUGCAUCACGUAUUAUUUACGUGAAAUAAAAUUUCAAAUUUUUAUUAUAAUUUUUAUAAAAUGGCGCAGCUUAUCCAAGACACGAAUAUUACCAGCUCUGUAGCAUUUUCUAAAUCUUUACAAAAUGAUGAUAACGCAUUGGAUGAUAAAGGGCAACUACACGAGAAGGAAGAGAACGAUGUUAUUUUAAUAUACGAAAGCUGCGAUAGAAAAUUGGGAAUUAGCAAGAAUAGCGAAGUACAGAAUAAUAAAUUGCAUAGCACUAAAUCGUUCCAAAAAACAUUCUCACGACUUGUUACAUUUAAUAAAAUAAUGCAUUCAUCUAUCGGAAAAAGAAAUUUUCAUCUUCUAGAAAAAUUGAUUUCCAUCUAUAUCAACAAUAUUUUAAAUUUCAUGGAAACGAAUUACAUUAUGACAUACGAAGUUAUUAAAUUGAAAAAGCAUAUGAGUAAUACGUUAACAUUUUUUCAUUUUUAUUGGCACGAAAUUAACGAGCACAUAGAAAAUCACAACUGUUAUUUAAAUAAAUUAUCAGUAUUAUUGGCCAUAUAUGUUGAUACAGAACUGAAAACUUCUAAAUGCAGUAAGGAUCCUUCUAAGAUUGCUGAUAAACUUUUCAAUGCGUUAUGUAUAUACUUAAAUAAAUCAAGAGAGCAUAUAUUUAAGGUAUUACUCAGGAUUAAAUUAAUUACCAAAAGAUAUGCACAGAUUUGUGAUUAUAUAUUCUCUAAAAGUUUUAACAAUUUAAAAACAAAUGAAGAAUCUAUGACAGGGGUAAAAUAUGUCAGAUAUUUAUUUACUUUAAAGCUUUGGAGACAAAUAAAAAAAGAUUCGGAGGAAGCGAAAAAAAUUGAUGAACUAGCCGUAGCUUUAUUAGGAUCACAUAUGCCAAAGAUGCAUGUAGAUUUAUUGAAACUUGUACCUAAGCUCCCUUCUAAUUGUAAAAAUGAAACCUUAUGGUUAAUGCAACCGAACUUAUUCGAUUUAAAACAAGCAUGUAAUGAUUUCCUGGUAUUCACGGAAAAUAUGGAAACGACUGAAUGUGUUCUAUUGCCUUCCACAAUAAAAUCUACAAAAGUACACAAUUAUACAAAUUCAGAGAUAAAUAUGAAUACUAACAAGGAUGAAGAAAUGCAUUCCUUGAGUUGUAAUAAAUCUGAUAUAAAUCCGAAAACAGGUUUAAAUAACAAUAAAUUGAAAGAUAAUUCAAAAAAAAAUAAUAACUCCAUAAAAAAGAAAAAACUCCAUGCUAAAGAAAAGACGGGAAAAAAUAAGAAAUACAAAUUAGUACCAAAUGUAAAGUCAGGAGAAAUGAUAGUUAUUAAUUUUUUAAAAGACAACGAACAAUCGCAAAAUUCUCGUAUAUCAUUGAUCAAUCACGAUAGUUUUCGUAAUGCGUUAAAUUUAAACGAACGGAUAAUAAAUCCUUGCCUGAUUAAAAAAUGUGUAGAGGAAAACAGUUUAAACGCCGAAUUGUGUAGUCAAAAACAAUCUGUGGAUAUUUUAGAUUCGUCUGUACAAAGAAACAAAAAUGAACAGUGCGUUAAUCAAAAUAAUUCAAUCGAUAGAUGUGUAGAUAUAGUUUCAUUUGGUUUAAAUGCAAACGCGAAAGAAGAUUUUGAUUUGUUUUCAUGGGAUGAUAACGGUUCUAUAUCAAUGUUUAAAAAUAUUUCAUCUUUGUAUUCGUCACCAUUACUUAUUCAAUCGGAUGUAAAACUUUCCGAAUCAAAAGAAUCCUUAACAAAUCUUACUUUCACAAACUCUGAUUACGAAUUCAAUGAUAUGAAAAUGGAACAAGGUUAUGAUUUCCAAGAAGCAAAUAUAUUAAAAGAAAGUAAUUUAAAAACGUAUACAGCACAUCAUACUUCAUUAGACGAAGUUUGUAUUUCUAAAGAUGUACCUUCGAGUGAUUUGCCAGUCCAAAUGGAAGACCUUCUAGUGCCAUCAUAUAAUUGCAUGUCAACGUCUGCAUUGCAAUUAGAUUUGGAAUUACUACCAACAGGAAAGUUGAUAGAAACACCUAAUUUACCAUUAUCUUUCAGUCAAUAUGAUUUAGUAUCAAAUAAACCGAUUACUUCGGAUUCACAAUUUAUAUUUACCAAGAAUGAUAAUUUGAAUAUACAACAAUUUUUAAAUGGACUACAAUCGGUUGAAACUCUUGAAAGAAUACAACAAAAUGUAAAAAUAUCUUCCGAUUACGAUCAAUUAUAUGCAGAUCAGGAUAUAAUGGAAGAUAUUAAUAAUUUUUCGAAACCAGAAUCAAUGGAUUUAGAUAAAAUUUUACCACAAAAAAAACGUAUAUCAAUGAAUCUCCGAAAUUCUGUAAUUAUAAGAGAAGAUAUAUCAAGUGAUUCCAAUCUCUUAUAUAAAGUAGAAUCGGAAGAUAAUAUUUUAAUAUCAACAGACAAUUCUUGCUUUAAACCUUCGGAAGGAAAUAUUACAAAGUCUGAUCCUCAAGUUGCUAAAGUACUUCUUGUCCAAGAUGAAUCCUCGAAAGAAACUUCAACGAAGAUCUCUAUAAAACCAAAUAUCAGAAAACUUGAUACAACGUCGUAUAACGAAGAAACAUCAUCAGUUAAGAGAAGAAAAGUUACGUCUGAACUUCUACCUCUUUUAGAUGCAAGUAAAGUUUCAUAUUCAACAAAUACACAGACUAAAACUAAAGAUUUACUUUCUGAAAUGAAAGGUAAUUUGAUAUUACAAUUAGUUACAAUUUUGAAACUAAUAUUAUUUUUAUAUUGUGAUAAAUACUCUAGAAUAAUUUAUAUAUACAUUUUGUUAUUUAUGUUUUUACUAGUUCAAAUUAAUAUGCUUGGUUAUAAAUCUUUUUAUUGGAAAAUGAUACAAUUAAUUUUAUAAAUAUAGUUUUAUGUAAAUUAAUAUCAAUCGCGUUAAAAAAAAAGAGAGAAUAAUAUUUACUAUGAUAUAGUAAUGUAAUAAUACGUACAUGAAUAUGUAUAUAUAAAGUAUAAUUAUGUGAUAUCAACACCUGAAGAUGUCUACAGUGAAGAUCUAUUAUUACAAAUUACCAAUUAAAGUAAAACAAGGAAUUUAUGUGUGAAAAAAUAUAAUGGAAUCAGUAGUCAAAGUACCGUACCAUCGAAGUACAGUUAAAGUAUAUCAUGCAACGUAUCAUGUAAAAGCUUUUACUAUCACCAAAGAAGCAAGAAAUUUGCAUUGAAAAUCUGACAGAUGGAUGAAGUCUACAAAUCCUGUUAAUAAGGUAUAUAUAAAAAAAUUUAACAAAUUAAUAAAUAAUUUUGUGGAUAUGCCAACAUUAUUUUAAUCAUUUGAAUGAAUGUUAAACUGAAAAUUAGUAAUUAAGUUUGUAAGUAAACCAUCUAUAGCUAGGUAUAGUAACAAUAGUUAUUCUCUUCCAAUUUUUUGACUAUUUGAUUAUUUGAUCGAGAAAUUAUUGAAUCCAGAUAUGUACAUAAAAAAUAUUUUGUAUGUUAUCUUAAUGUUAAAAGGAAACAGUAUUGUAUAAAUAGUUCAUAUGAUUGUAUAAUGAAGAAUAUUUAACAAAUACUUGUUCUUUCAAUUGUUUUACUUUUAGUUACAAACGUAUAAUCAAAUAUUUACAAAAAAAAUCAAUUUUUUAUUGCCUCACUAUGAGUUAAUUUUUAGAUAACUGGUUCUAAAAUGAUAUUACUGAGAAGCAUGCAAAUAUUUUAAUAAUAUAACAAAAACUUGCAUUAAAUUUUAAUUAAAUAAUAAUGAGCAAACGUACAUUGAUUUUAUUUUUAAAUCUACAGCAUAUUAGUAUUAUUAUCAGCAUAUAUUUGCUUAGAAUAUUUAAUGAAGUAUAAUAAUGCAAGUAAAAGUAUAUGAGAGUAAGGGCACGAUGAUCUCUUUAGCACUAGUCAAAAAUGCUAUCUCAUUCGAAAAACAGUUGGAAUUAUUAUUCCUUAAAUAUUCAUACGUAGAUGAUAGUAUACAGUGAGUGAUCAGUUAAUAGAGAUAGUUUUGACUGUGAACAAGUCGGACAAUAAAUGUUUUUGCAAAAGAUUUUUAUAUUCGGAUAAUAAUCACUUUACAGAACCAACAUAAGAAGAGCCGACAUUGUGUAUAAGAUUUAUAGAAUCGUAUUUUAUUGUUAAAAAAAUCGAUGAUUAGUUAAUACGAACAAUUUGGAUUGUGAACAUCAUUUUUAAAUACUUUAUGUUCAUUAACCGAUCAUCCAUUGUAAUAUUGUAUAAGAAAUAAAAUUUCAAAUUAUAAUUAGAUUUUUUAUAGGAAGAAAUGAAUUAUAAUAAUACUUUAUCUUACAAUUAUAGUCAAGCUAGAAACUGUAACCAAUCUCUUUGCUCUAAUUAUUCUUAUUAUAUAGUAAUGUUAAAUCUUAGCAGAUUGCAAUACGAGAAACAGGGUAUAUUUUUAUUUAAAUUCACUCAGUAUUAUUUAUAAUAUAUUCCAAGUACCUUAACAUUUUUUAGAAAUAUUAGGAUGAGGAUAGAAAAGAUAUUGUAAGUUUUAGUAUCGAAAUACUCUGUAAUUUAUUAUUGAAACAAUGCGAUUUUUUUCUAUUAUUUAAAUAUAUUUUACAAAUCAUUGACAGUUAAUUGCAAACAAGUGUUACGUUUACUUUGCCAAGUAUAAAAUUUGUAGUUUAAUUUACAGUUAAACUAGUAAAAGACUUAUUUUUAAAAAGUGUCAUAUUUAAGUAGAUAUACUUAAGAUCUAAUUUCUUCAUUUUGUUGUGUGUGUGUCUUUAUUUUCAAUUAUGAUAAAAUAUACAUUAAUCUUUUUAAUUUUAUAAUAAUAAAUUCCUUAUUUUUUUAGAUUUCAAAUAUAACAGACUGAUUUAUACUUCAUAUUUAUUUUUUUAUUACUUAUAAUCGUGUGUCAAAAGAUCUACAUUGAUCUUCGAAGAAUGUCCGACUUUGAUAUUUUUUAUAUAAUCUCAUUUAUAUUUUAAUAAUAUUUUUUUUAUUUUGUUUGUUAAAUAAUGUUUUUACAUCUGUGUAUAUAACCAAUUGAGAUGCAUUAAUAAAGUAUUUUUUAAAAAAGAUAUCUUUUUUAUUAAAUACAAUUUAAUAAUUAAGAAUUAUAUAUCCAAUCACACACAAAGUUUAAAAAAAGAAGCAAAGUUACAUUUAAAUAAAAAUACAUUUUUAAUUAUAUUUAGCCAUUAUAUAAUAAAUAAAACAAAUAGAUAAACGUGUACGUAUAUUCGUAGAUAAAAAUAAUGCGAGUUAAUUCAUUUAAAAUAAUUUAUAUAAUUAUGUCAAAUAAUAUUAGAGUUAUUUAAAAAGAAAAAACUUACGAAAGAAACGUAUUUAGUUACUUGCAAUCUUAUUUUUCAAUUAUUAUAAAUUUCUAAUACAUAUGUGUGUGUGUGUGUGUUACGUAUUGAUUGUAAAACGGGUUAUUAUUAACAUGUUUCGUUUUUUUGCGCAACAAAUGUUACAAUAUAUGCGUUUUUUUUCACAAUAUAAGACAGAGAUUAAGUCGAAAGAAAAUGAAGGAAAAAUUGUAUGAAAUGA